UGCCAAAGCCUAGAGAGUCAGUGAGGAAGGUAGUUAGUUCUGAACUGAAAUGAAAUCGCCCAGGGCUCCAGUGACUUCCCCAACCCGGCCAUCCUGCAGGAGCAGCGCGUAGGCAGCUUCGAGAGAUAGCCUGGUCCAGCGGCCCACACCUUAGCGCCAGGCUCAAGGAACCGGGGCGUAUUUCUGCAGUGAGACCCUAGGACGGACAUCGGCGCCUUCGGCUUCGAUGGAGUUGCGAUUUUGCUCUUUCCAGGGAAACAGUGGCAGGGUGUUUGCUGCUUGUCGGUUCCUGCGGAUAUGCCUGGCUCAUGGGUCCCAGGACAUUCCACUGGAGGCUUGGACUGCAUUUAGGAGCCCCUAUCCCUUCCCUGUCCACACUGUUAUUGAGCAAUUUCAUAUGUUUGCAUUUAGACCCAUAGACUCAGAACGACUCAUCACAAACACACACAGUGUACACUCACAUUCGCACACUUAGGUAUACAGCCUGAUCCUUGCUCUGACCCGGUAACAACGCUUCCUCCUCCAGAGACUUUGAGAUAGAGCGAGCGAUCCGUGUGCACCAUUCAUCCAUGCUCCCACCUCGCCAGUAUGGCUGGCUUGUUCUGGAAGGGGCUUAAGAGGAACAAGCCCCAGCUGUGCUUCUGGCUGGGACUUAAGCCCCCCUUCUGGGCCCUAACGCCACGCUUCUUUGUGGACCGGACCUGACUCUCCAGGAACCUGGGAACCCGCUAUUUCACUCUACUUUGGGACAGGAAAAAGGGUAUCUUUGGGGCCACUUC
rnacentral:antisense_RNA from 1 species